AACGAACGCUGGCGGCAUGCCUAACACAUGCAAGUCGAACGAGAUCUUCGGAUCUAGUGGCGCACGGGUGCGUAACGCGUGGGAAUCUGCCCUUGGGUUCGGAAUAACAGUGAGAAAUUACUGCUAAUACCGGAUGAUGUCUUCGGACCAAAGAUUUAUCGCCCAGGGAUGAGCCCGCGUAGGAUUAGGUAGUUGGUGGGGUAAUGGCCUACCAAGCCGACGAUCCUUAGCUGGUCUGAGAGGAUGAUCAGCCACACUGGGACUGAGACACGGCCCAGACUCCUACGGGAGGCAGCAGUGGGGAAUAUUGGACAAUGGGCGAAAGCCUGAUCCAGCAAUGCCGCGUGAGUGAUGAAGGCCUUAGGGUUGUAAAGCUCUUUUACCAGGGAUGAUAAUGACAGUACCUGGAGAAUAAGCUCCGGCUAACUCCGUGCCAGCAGCAGCCGCCG
rnacentral:rRNA from 1 species